UUGCAAAGGUAGCAUAAUAAUUAGUUUAUUGAUUGUAAAAUAGUAUGAAUGAAUGAAUGAAAUUUUUAUUGUCUUAGUUUUAUUUGAUUGAAUUUUAUUUUUUUAUUAAAAAGUUAAAAUUUUUUAGCAGGACGAGAAGACCCUAUAAAUCUUUAAAUGAUUUUUUUUUUGAAUCUUAAUUGUUUUUAACUGGGGCGGUUGAUGAAAAUUUUAACUUCAUUUUCAAUUUAUUAAUUUUUUUGAAAAUUUAUAUUUUGUUGAUUUUUUUUUAUUGAAAUUAUAAGUUUAAGUUACUUUAGGGAUAACAGCGUAAUUGUUUU
rnacentral:rRNA from 1 species